UACGUAGGGUGCGAGCGUUGUCCGGAAUUAUUGGGCGUAAAGGGCUCGUAGGCGGUUUGUCGCGUCGGGAGUGAAAUCCACUGGCUUAACUGGUGGCUUGUCUUCGAUACGGGCAGACUGGAGGUAUGCAGGGGAGAACGGAAUUCCUGGUGUAGCGGUGAAAUGCGCAGAUAUCAGGAGGAACACCGGUGGCGAAGGCGGUUCUCUGGGCAUGUCCUGACGCUGAGGAGCGAAAGUGUGGGGAGCGAACAGG
rnacentral:rRNA from 1 species